GACGAACGCUGGCGGCGUGCUUAACACAUGCAAGUCGAACGGAAAGGCCCUGCUUUUGUGGGGUGCUCGAGUGGCGAACGGGUGAGUAACGCGUGAGUAACCUGCCCUUGACUUUGGGAUAACUUCAGGAAACUGGGGCUAAUACCGGAUAGGAGCUCCUGCUGCAUGGUGGGGGUUGGAAAGUUUCGGCGGUUGGGGAUGGACUCGCGGCUUAUCAGCUUGUUGGUGGGGUAGUGGCUUACCAAGGCUUUGACGGGUAGCCGGCCUGAGAGGGUGACCGGCCACAUUGGGACUGAGAUACGGCCCAGACUCCUACGGGAGGCAGCAGUGGGGAAUAUUGCACAAUGGGCGGAAGCCUGAUGCAGCAACGCCGCGUGCGGGAUGACGGCCUUCGGGUUGUAAACCGCUUUCGCCUGUGACGAAGCGUGAGUGACGGUAAUGGGUAAAGAAGCACCGACUAACUACGUG
rnacentral:rRNA from 1 species